UACGGGGGGGGCAGGCGUUGUUCGGAAUUACUGGGCGUAAAGGGCUCGUAGGCGGCCAACUAAGUCGGAUGUGAAAUCCCCAGGCUUAACCUGGGAACUGCAUCCGAUACUGGAUGGCUUGAAUCCGGGAGAGGGAUGCAGAAUUCCAGGUGUAGCGGUGAAAUGCGUAGAUAUCUGGAGGAAUACCGGUGGCGAAGGCGGCAUCCUGGACCGGCAUUGACGCUGAGGCGCGAAAGCGUGGGGAGCAAACAGG
rnacentral:rRNA from 1 species